UUCUCUCCAGGUAUGUUACAGGUGUAUGAUUGUAGUUCUCUCCAGGUAUGCUACAGGUGUAUGAUUGUAGUUCUCUCCAGGUAUGCUACAGGUGUAUGAUUGUAGUUCUCUCCAGGUAUGUUACAGGUGUAUGAUUGUAGUUCUCUCCAGGUAUGCUACAGGUGUAUGAUUGUAGUUCUCUCCAGGUAUGUUACAGGUGUAUGAUUGUAGUU